CACACCAUCCAGAACCUUCCCCUUUUCAAGAUCCAAUCACAGCCGUCCGAUCAUUCCACCAAAACUUUACAUACGAUUCACAAGUCAACAUUACGACGCCGUUUAGCCUUAUCCAGCCGUUGGAAAUAUCUCCCUCGCACUCAUUCUCAGCCGUUGGAUCAUCAACCCCCCUCAAUAAAUACACUCUUUUAUCUUUUCAUUUCAUCACAGCCAGUCUUCCAUUCAUUUCUGUAGCCGCCUAGAUCUGCAGGCUUGUCUUCUCUUUCUUCACGCCGGAUUUGUCCUCUUCUUGUUUUUUCCGUCAGAUUCGUUUAGAUCGUGAGGCGAUCUACGUUUUGAAUAUGGAUUUUCCCUGUUUUGUUAUGCCUUCGAUUUUCCGCCUGUUGAUGUGUCGGUCGCCUGGUUUGGGUAGAUCUGAGGCUGUGAAACGCCGAGGUUUGGGUAGAUCUGCAGCUUUGUUGGGCGGAUAGAUCGAAUCGGUGAAGAUUCGGUUUUGCGUGAUGGAUUGGAAACAUCAAUUUCGUGGAUCUGGAAACGCGAAGGCAUCUUCAGAAGACACGAUCAUUUGAAGGUGGAUGCUGACCGGUAUGGCUUUCGUCGCGAGUUUUAUCUACGAGGCACCGGUGGACCGACCAAGUGGUUUUAAGGGAAGUGAAUUGUUUUAUGUUGUGUUAUUUCAUGCAUUCUUGUUGUCUGUGUAGACUCGACGAAUUGUUGAGAAUAACAGACUGUAAAAAAAAUGGAAAAAUGAGUGAGCGGAGUGAGGUGAGAUUUAGUUGUCUGCAUGACCUUUGCCAUGAUGGGUGCGCUCGCAUGGCAGGUCGCCCUUUUAAUAAAAAUUAUCAUUUUUUGGUUUUGAGGGGAGAUGGUACGGGGCAUUGCCCGGCUUCUCCCCCUGUGUGUGGUGUCCUCUCGUUCUAUUCUUUCUCUUUCCCUCUCCCCUCUCUCCUUUUGUCUCUUCUACCUACUAUGCACGCAUACAACGUUCAAUUCCAGCAAUUCAAUCAUGCCAUAUUUGUUUUGUCUUGAAUGGGUUGUGUGCUGUUUAAUAUUAUACACAACCUAUUCAAGGUCAAAGCAAUGAACGAACUUUGGGAAUCAAGCAAUAUUGAGGCUUCAAUCUUCUUCACAGCAUCCACUACAACAGAGGUACCAAUUUGCACUUUCUCAAUAUUUAGUUCACUUUAUAAUCAUUAUAUUCUUAACUUGCAACUAACUGUUUUGAUCAGAAUCUGUUAUCCAAUAAUUUCUUGAUUUACUAGCUCAAUUUUUCUAACUACAAUUGUUGUCGGUUCCCGAAAUAGCGUUUAUCUUAAGCCUGUUUUUAUCCAAUCUUUUUAUUAUUGCCCUAAAAAAGUUUCUAAUUAAAUAUCAUUGUGUAAAUUAUUUUGACUUGCUUUUUGUUGGGAAGCACAAAACAAAUGAAAUAAAUUUUGCAUUCGUAGCUUAAAACAUCUAAACUUUCCUUGUGCUUAAUUGGAAAUUUACAUUUAUCAUCUCAAUGUCAAUGGGAUAUACUAGAGUUUCAUAAUUGCUAUUAUCCAAAUAUAAACAUGAAGAUAAUAUUACUCGUCUAAAGAUAAGUGAUAUGGUUUCUUGAAAAUACUAGAGAACUGUAAAUCCUACAUCAUUGCAAUCAUUUUUCAGUAGAACUCACAAAAUCAACAUCUGGGAAUACGAUGCAUUUGUUCAAAUAUAUUUAGUUGUUUUGGUAUACUUAUCACUUGUCACUUUGUACAACACAUGCUAUAUCUGUUUUGCUAGUUUUCCCUCUGUUGAGGGGGGUCUAGCUAUUGCUUUAGAUUAUUAAUGAUGUAUUCUGGUUUAUUAUUGGCCAUCUGUAUGGUUGAAGGGACUGUGUCUUUGUGUAGUAUAGUUUAAAGCUAUAGCAUGGUUGUAAUAGAUCAGCUAUUCAGUAUUCGGUUGGUUGCUCAUCGGAUUUGGAGCAAUCUUCGGGUGGAGUACUUCCUUGGCGUAUUUAUGUUACGACCUGUGAUACUUGUAGCUGACUGUUGUGAGGCUGCUUGUGUACAACGAUGUGAUGACUGCUGGUGCUGGUCUUGCUGCUGCUGCUGUUUCUGGGGUUUUUUGUUAUCUAUUGCUGUUGCUACUGCCGCUGCUUUGGAGCCUUAUGUGAUGGACUUCUUAUUUCAUGCGAAUGAAUGGAUAUUGGCGAUUGUUCUCAGUGAUGCUGUUUAUGCAUAUACUUGGUCGGUCUCCAAAUGUACUUGAAGAUAAUUUUCAAGGUGUGGUCAGGUUUUCACUCCUACGUGACAUGCAUGCUUUUUGAGGUGUAGAUCAUGACAAUAAUGCUCUAUGUUUAUGUUCGGUCUUUGUGCCGACAUACACUCAAAAGUAGAGUUUUAAAUCAAGUUUAUAUUAGUGUUUUAAGAAGUAAAUUACCUUAGUUAGAAUGGUCGUGUGGUUCAAGAUACAGCGGCUAAUUCAUGAAAGUUUUAAAUCAAGUUUAUAUUAGUGUUUUAAGAAGUAAAUUACCUUAGUUAGAAUGGUCGUGUGGUUCAAGAUACAGCGGCUAAUUCAUGAAAAACAUCGUAGUUUGUUUGUUUGGCCUAUUUUUAAAAUUAAUUUCGACUUCAUACUAUUUGGAAACA